rnacentral:rRNA from 1 species
AGAGUUUGAUCAUGGCUCAGAGUGAACGCUGGCGGCAGGCCUAAUACAUGCAAGUCGAACGGCAGGCACAGCAGAGCUUGCUCUGUGGGUGGCGAGUGGCGGACGGGUGAGGAAUACGUGGGAAUCUGCCCAGUCGUGGGGAUAACGUAGGGAAACUUACGCUAAUACCGCAUGCGCCCUUCGGGGGAAAGCCGGGGACCUUCGGGCCUGGCGCGAUUGGAUGAGCCCACGUCGGAUUAGCUAGUUGGCGGGGUAAAGGCCCACCAAGGCGACGAUCCGUAGCUGGUCUGAGAGGAUGAUCAGCCUCACUGGAACUGAGACACGGUCCAGACUCCUACGGGAGGCAGCAGUAGGGAAUAUUGGACAAUGGGCGCAAGCCUGAUCCAGCCAUGCCGCGUGAGUGAAGAAGGCCCUCGGGUUGUAAAGCUCUUUUGUCCGGAAAGAAAAGCGCCGGGUUAAUACCCUGGUGUCCUGACGGUACCGGAAGAAUAAGCACCGGCUAACUUCGUG